AUGUGGCCCGACAGUGUUGGGCCACCGCCCGGGGAGCGUGGCGUGUGUCCCUGGCUGCCACCUGCCGGCGCCUCAUGGGGCUCUGCUCUCUGGACUCUGCUCUUGCUGUUUCCCACGUCAGGAGCCCCCCACUCCCACGUCGGGAGCCCCCCUCCACUCCCACAUCAGGAGCUGCCCCCCCUACAUCAGGAGCCCCCCCCGCACUCCCACGACAGAAGCCCCACCCCUGCACUCCCACGUCAGGAGCCCCCCCACUCCCAGUCAGGAGCCCCCCCCCGCAGUCCCACGUCAGGAAGCCCCCCCCACUCCCACGUCAGGAAGCCCCCCCCACUCCCACGUCAGGAGCCCCCCACUCCCACGUCAGGAGCCCCCCCAUGUCAGGAGCCCCCCCACUCCCACUCCUACAUCAGAGCCCCCCCACUCCCAGUCAGGAGCCCCCCCCACAUCAGGAGCCCCCCACUCCCACGUCAGGAGCUGCCCCCCCAUGUCAGGAGCCCCCCCACAUCAGGAGCCCCCCCCCCGCACUCCCACGACAGGAGCCCCACCCCUGCACUCCCACGUCAGGAGCCCCCCACUCCCACUCCCAUGUCAGGAGCCUCCCCCCACUCCCACUCCCACUCCCACAUCAGGAGCCCCCCCACUCCACGUCAGGAGCCCCCCCACUCCCACGUUCAGGAGCCCCCCCUGCAGUCCCACAUCAGGAGCCCCCCCACUCCCACAUCAGGAGCCCCCCCACAUCAGGAGCCCCCCCACUCCCACGUCAGGAGCUGCCCCCCGCACGUCAGGACCCCCCCUCCCCGCACUCCCACGACAGGAGCCCCACCCCUGCACUCCCACGUCAGGAGCCCCCCACUCCCACUCCCACGUCAGGAAGCCCCCCCCACUCCACGUCAGGAGCCCCCCCAUGUCAGGAGCCUGCCCCCACUCCCACUCCCACAUCAGAGCCCCCCCUCCCAUAGCUGCCCUUAUCCAUCACCGGUCUUUGCUCGUGUGGCCUUCUUCCUUCGCCCCCACACCCAUGGCCCCAACGCCCCUGGACCUAGCUGGCACCUGACAACCUCCUGUCACUGCUGA
rnacentral:lncRNA from 1 species